rnacentral:lncRNA from 1 species
AUGCAGAUGUCUGCUGCAGGGGAAUUGCUUGACGGGGCCUGCCGAGCAGGUAGGCCGGGGGAAUGUUUGCAGGCAGGGGCCGAAGGUCCACCGGAGACAGAACAACGGGGGCACCGGACGCACUUGGGCCUCGCGGAGCCACCAUUCGACAAGCCGCGGUGUCAACGAGCUGUGCAGAAGGGAUUGCUGGAGCUGAGCUACGCAACCGAUCGCUAUGGCGACUGAGACAGCAGGCAGCAGACUGAGACGAGACAGUGACCCCCUCAGCUGAUGCUGUGAUAUCAGUCUACAUGACUGAUCGCAAAAAAGGCUUAAUGUGACGCUGUUGAUAUCUGCCACAACACUCACGAACACUCAGAGAUCUGUAUAACCGUCCGCUG